rnacentral:rRNA from 1 species
UUAGGAAUAUUGGACAAUGGGCGAAAGCCUGAUCCAGCCAUGCCGCGUGUGUGAUGAAGGCCCUAGGGUUGUAAAGCACUUUCGUUGGGGAUGAUAAUGACCGUACCCAAAGAAGAAGCACCGGCUAACUUCGUGCCAGCAGCCGCGGUAAUACGAAGGGUGCAAGCGUUGUUCGGAAUCACUGGGCGUAAAGAAUGCGUAGGCGGCUAGACAAGUCAGGAGUGAAAUCCCAGGGCUCAACCCUGGAACUGCUCUUGAAACUGUCUUGCUAGAGUCCCGGAGGGGUUAGCGGAAUUCCGAGUGUAGAGGUGAAAUUCGCAGAUAUUCGGAGGAACACCAGUGGCGAAGGCGGCUAACUGGACGGGAACUGACGCUGAGGCAUGAAAGUGUGGGGAUCAAACA